rnacentral:rRNA from 1 species
UACGGAGGGUGCAAGCGUUAUCCGGAUUCACUGGGUUUAAAGGGUGCGUAGGUGGGCAAGUAAGUCAGUGGUGAAAUCUCCGGGCUUAACCCGGAAACUGCCAUUGAUACUAUUUGUCUUGAAUACUGUGGAGGUCAGCGGAAUAUGUCAUGGUAGCGGUGAAAUGCUUAGAUAUGACAUAGAACACCAAUUGCGAAGGCAGCUGGCUACACAAAUAUUGACACUGGAGGCACGAAAGCGUGGGGAGCAAACAGG